rnacentral:rRNA from 1 species
AGAACGAACGCUGGCGGCAUGCCUAAUACAUGCAAGUCGAACGAACACUUCGGUGUUAGUGGCGCACGGGUGCGUAACGCGUGGGAAUCUGCCCUUGGGUUCGGAAUAACAGUUGGAAACGACUGCUAAUACCGGAUGAUAUCGAAAGAUCAAAGAUUUAUCGCCCAGGGAUGAGCCCGCGUAGGAUUAGCUAGUUGGUGAGGUAAAGGCUCACCAAGGCGACGAUCCUUAGCUGGUCUGAGAGGAUGAUCAGCCACACUGGGACUGAGACACGGCCCAGACUCCUACGGGAGGCAGCAGUAGGGAAUAUUGGACAAUGGGCGCAAGCCUGAUCCAGCAAUGCCGCGUGAGUGAUGAAGGCCUUAGGGUUGUAAAGCUCUUUUACCCGAGAUGAUAAUGACAGUAUCGGGAAGAAGUAAGCCCCGGACUAACCUCCGUGCCAGCAGCCCGC